UUUUUCACUCUGUCUCGCAGAGGUUACUUUCUGCUUGUUCAUUUUACUGCUUAAUGGCUGUUGCUGUGGCUUUCACACUUUGUCAUGAACUGGGAGCCACUUGCCCCAGUGAGGGUACCAGGAGCUUCCAGCCUCAGCAUCCCCAGAGAGUGCAAGCAAGCAGGAGUGAAGUCUCUGUCGGCAGUGUCAAGGAGCAAAAAGUGCAGUAAUGAUAAGUCACAGCAGCAUACAGCCCUGGAAGAGGGCUUUGGGAGACAGAACCAGCUGCUGAAACAUAACUGCAAGGUGCUUGACAGAAAUACUUUGCAGCUUCUGGGAUCACAUUUCGGGAUUAUUGCCUGUGCCUGGAGUUUUAUUUUUAUUUUUAUUUUUUGUUUACCUUUAAUUAUAAAAGCAGAAUGUUGACUUACCCAGAUGUAACACCCACCCCCACGGUUAAGUCAGUAAUUCAAGUUUCUAAUCAUCUGUCCACCCAGUAUGGGACACUGGUUAUCCAGAAGCAGCCUGAGACUUUGCAUAUACAUCAGUCACCAAGUUCACAGCAAAGAGGAUGCAACUUCAGGCAACUCUUCCUGGUCAUGGGAGCCUUCACCUGUGGCUGAGGCCACUCUUACAUGACAAGCUUCCAGCUUCUGAUGAGUGAGAAAGGAAUCCCAUCCAUCAAGAACAACCUCCUGUACAGUACAGCCCUGAUUUGCUCCAUGGUUUUGUCCAUCCUGUGCCCUGCAAGCUGGGGAAAAGAAUAUAAUGCAUCAUGUAUUUAAAAAAAUGUAUCAUAAUGUGUCUGAACCCUCAGUUCUUGUAUUGCCUUAUUUCAGAAGUCUCGAUUUUGCAAUCUUGUUCAUGUUCUUUAAACAUUGUUUUUAAGCGUGUUUAUGCUUUUGAAAAAGAGCUUUUGUUUAUUAAAAAUCACAGUGGUAAGUUAAAUGUUAAGUCAAGCCAGGCCCAGUUAAAGUCAAAAGGAUGGAGGAUGUCAAUUAGCAAAACGGUAAAAUGGCAAAACAGCAUAUACCAUUUACUGCAGGUGGAAACAGAAAAAUAAUGCCGUUCAAAAUUACAGUUUAUGGUGUUAUUUUUACUGUUUGCAACCAGCGUGACUAUUUCUUCCUACCUCCCCUGACCCCUCCCCUACUGUUUGUGACUCCCUGUCUCAGUCCACGCUGACUGCACCCAGUUGCAGGCUCCACCCUGACAUUUUUCACUUUCCUGUUAUUGGGCUAGCUGUCUCUUGUAAUUAGGCUACGGAGAGAUACAAUAUGAAAUCACGCCAUAUGUUCUCACUCAGUAUCUCUUCACUUCUUUCCUGGCCUCAGUUGAAAAGGAAAGCUUUUCCACAAACAUCUGCCAGCUGAUGACUGCUUAAGCUGGAAAAUAGCUCCCUAGUUCCCAUAAAGAGGUACUUUUCCUUCCUUGUCUGGUGACAAACCUACACUUUUUCUAGGAAAGGCGUAAGCUAAUGUUGGAGGCCAUUAGGUUCUCAAGCUCUUUUUUUCGCAGAAACUCUUAAGCAUUUUAAAUCUUAUCUUGUAUCCUUCAGCGGUGCACAUACAGCACGUCUGCAUAUUCAGGGUACAGAGGAGAGACUGAGUUUGGCAGUGAGAUACCGCCUCUCACCUAAAUCUCAAGACAGAGGCCAUCCGUCAUUCUCUAUUCAGACUUGCACCAUACCUACAAACUGAGACAUCCUUUUUUUUCUUCAAAUAUGAAUUUUGACUCCUUGAACUUGCAGUGUGUCUAAAUUCUGCACAUCCUGCACCUCAGUAUGAAGAGUCAAGACAACUCCACCUCCUAAUUUCCAUCUUUUUCUAACCCUCCAGGCCUGAUUCUAUGUGUCCUGAAAAUUUCUCGAGUGCCUGUAAUUAGGUGCUGGUAUGUACACAGAAGUAGAGUGAUGUGAAGAUAGGGCUGGGUUGAUAUUCAGACACACGGACACAUUUGACACUGAGAAGCAGCCUGAAAAGCUGGGCUUUGAAACAGCUGUAGGUGUUGGUGGCUCCUGCCUUUGCCUAGUGCACAGGAUGAAAAAAUUCUCCUGGGAAAAAGAAAGACCACAUCUAAGCUGAUUUUUAUAAUGAGGAAAAUGAAUCUCAGUGCCAGAAGUGUGCCACAACGAGACUGACUGCAUGUGUCUGGAUAUAGAAACAAUCAUGUCCUGAGACUGUCACAGUUCUGUUCUGCCCACGAACACCUACUGUAAGGGGCAGGCUCAUCCCCCAGCUCCUCCCUGAGGAAGUUGUCCGGCUCCCUCUCACCUGCCCUUCUUUCUCUCCUUCUCCCUGACUGCAAAGUAUCUCCGUGUCCCUGGAAAUGGGGAGAAUUUAGGAAGGAUGGAAAGGAAGGAUGGAUUAGGAAAUAUGGCUCUACUUAAGUCUCUACUUAAGUUCUCUUCAUGUGAAGAAAUAGCUUAGCUGUGCCUAACUCUGCCAGCUUCUGGUUUUGAGAAUUCAGACUAUUUAUUAACACCCACAGGUGUUGAUCCUAGGUCUCACUUUUUGUACAAUUUUUUUGCAUUUGAAAUUCAUUAGAGAGCUCCCUAUGCAACCUUGUUCAUCCUUACCUAUCUCCCAACCUUCCUUUGCAAUGAGGUAAUCUAAUGGUUUUGUAAUUUAUUUCAGCAGCUGAGCAGCUGGCAGCUUGUCUCUCUGUUCUCCUCUUUUUUUUUUUUUUUUUUUUUUUUAAGCCCUAGGAAAGCUUUAGAUUUCCUGCCAAACAGAUACUAGACUGAUUGUGUUCUUCAGAUCAAAGAUUUUCUCAGUCUCCUGCAACUUGUGGUGCUGAUUUACUUGUGUAAGAAGAGUGGUAUUUACAUAAUGACACAAUUAAAGAAAAUGGAAGAAAUGUGAGAAAUAUAAUUUGUGUUAGUUAAUUUCCUGCUCACAGAUUGUGUCAGAGAGCUAAGUAUGUUCCACAUUAAAAGAGCCUUUCAAAUUAAACAUUAAAAAACC